GUCGGACACACUCGGCCUCGGGUUCCUAGUCAGGUGGCCAAGCCUGCUCCCUCAGACCUGGGUUUCUCCUCCUUUGUAUUCGAGAAGUCACAGCCGCAGAGGCCUCUGGGCCGCCUCCUUUCCCUGCAGCCUUGGCUUCUGCAGCAGGAUGCUGUGGCCACCGACUCUACAGGUUUCUCUCCCCGUCCCUGCUCUGCUGGGGCCAGGCCAGCCUCCAACACUUUACCCUUCUAACAUCCUACAGUCCUGCGCCACAUAACGAUGUUUCGGUCAACAAGGGACCACACACGACGGUGGUCCUACACGAUCAGUACCAUGUGGCCUAGGUGUGUAGUGGGCUAUCCCAUCCAGGCCUGUGUAAGUGCACGCUGUGACAUUCACACAACGACGACAUCGCCUAUGAUGCCGUUCUUGGAACGCAUCCCCGCUGCGACGUAUGACUGUAUUUCAUUUAAUCAUUUAUCCUGUGUAUUGCUUAUUGUUUGUUUUCUCCCCCAAUAUCCACCCCGGGUAGAAUCCAAGUCCCAGAAGGACAGGGUAUUUUGCUGUUUUGUGCACUGAUAUUUCCUACACCCCAG
rnacentral:lncRNA from 1 species